CCUGUCCAAGUGGUCUCACCCUCACAUAACAUGGCACGGGAGGAUUGCGGUGAUUAAAAUGAAUAUUCUCCCGAGAAUCUUAUAUCUCAUGCAAACCAUACCCCUCGCAAUACCACCAACCUUUUUCUCCACCCUGAAAACGGCAAUGAUCAAAUUCAUCUGGCGGGGAGGAAGAUCCAGGAUUAGACACGACAUUAUCUGCCACCCUAGAAUUUGCGGAGGUCUAG